rnacentral:rRNA from 1 species
AUGACCACGCCAAGCUUGCAGUUCCUUUCCCAGCAGCAGCUGCUGCUACUGCUGCCAGCCGUAAUCCUACUAGUAGUUGCCGCCGUGGCUGAUGCUCAAGGGCAGCUUCCGGGUUGCGGCCACAAGUGCGGCAAUAUCGACAUCCCCUUCCCGUUUGGCAUCGGCAUCGGCCCUGGCUGCUUCGGCGACGGGUUCGAGGUCCUGUGCAACGACUCCUACCACACCCCUCGCGCCUUCCUUCGGGGCACGAACGGCUCUUACUUCCCAUCGCCGUACGAACUGCUGAGCAUAGCAGUCGAGAAGGGCGAGGCACGAGUGCUAGCCCCGAUCGCGUCUCGGUGCAACACAGAUAUCAACGUGUCCUCCGCGGGCAUGUAUAUGGAUCUAGUUGUCACGCCGUUCACCGUGUCGGUGAGUAAUGUGCUCAUCGGCGUCGGUGCUACUGCCGUGACUAUGAUGCAGUACACUGUGCCUGCUGAGCGCAUCUUCUCUUGCCUUGCAUAUGAUUUCGGGUCAGUCCGUGAAGAAGGGGGCAACGGGAACUGCACGGCAGGCUGCUGCGAGUUCAGCCCUUCCACCCUCACCAAGGAUGUGCGAUUGUCUGUCAGAUAUAUUGCUGAAGAUCAGACCAACAUGAUGUGGUCAACCUUCCCGUGCGCUUAUGGCAUGCUGGUGGAGAAGUCAUGGUACGAGUACUAUAGGCGGGACAUGUUCAGGUACACGCUGCUCAACAGAACCACCCAGGGCGUCCCCCUCACGCUCAAUUUUGCCGCUGGGAAGGGUUCGUGUCUGGCGAAAGGACAAGUGCCUCCUCCGGAAUACGCCUGCAUCAGUGGCAACAGCUCUUGUGCCAACGCAACAUAUUCAGAUACUCCUGGCUAUAUGUGCAAGUGCCUGGACGGUUACGCGGGCAACCCUUACGUCGCUAACGGAUGCCAAGACAUCGUUGAAUGCGAGCAACCCGAAGUGUAUCCAUGCUCAAAUGAGGGGACCUGCAAAAACAAGCUGGGAGGCUACGACUGUCCAUGCAAAUUCGGAAUGAAAGGCGACGGCAAAACAGGAACCUGCACACCUGUAUUCACUCCAGCAGCAAAGGCGACAGUGGGUGCAAUAGCGGGUGUUCUUCUUCUGGUGAUUAUAUCGUUUCUUGUUAUUCUUCGCAAGGAGAAAAAGAAGGCGAAAGAAUUUUACAGGAAGAACGGUGGCCCUACAUUAGAGAAGGCAAAUGUGAUUAAACUUUUCAGAAAGGAUGAGCUCAAGCCAAUUUUGAAGAAGAGCAACUUAAUUGGAAAAGGUUGCUUUGGUGAAGUUUACAAGGGCAUUCUUGACAAUAAACUAGUUGCAGUAAAGAAGCCGAUUAAUGGUUCUGUGCUAGAGAGUGACCAAUUUGCAAAUGAAGUCAUCAUCCAAUCUCAGGUCAUCCACAAGAACAUUGUUAGACUCAUUGGUUGUUGCCUUGAAGUCGAUGCCCCCAUGCUUGUCUAUGAGUUUAUCUCGCAAGGUAGCCUCCAUGACAUUCUUCACAAUAGCAAUAACAAGGUGGCUUUCAACUUGGAUGCACGUCUAAGUAUUGCUACACAUUCAGCCGAUGGUCUAGCUUAUAUGCACUCAAAAACAAAUAAUAGAAUUCUACACGGUGAUGUCAAACCAGCUAAUAUACUUUUGGAUGAUAACUUCAUACCCAAGAUUUCAGACUUCGGCAUAUCUAGGCUAAUUGCAAGUGACAAGGAACACAGUGCAUCAAUCAUUGGCGACAUGAAUUAUAUGGAUCCGGUGUAUCUACAAGAAGGCUUACUCACUGAAAAAAGUGAUGUCUACAGUUUUGGAGUAGUGAUCCUGGAACUUAUUAGCAGGGAGAGGGCAAUCCAUUCUGAUAAUAAUAAGCUGGUAAAGAAUUUCCUUGAAGCCCACAUGAAAUAG